UGGGGAAUAUUGCACAAUGGGGGAAACCCUGAUGCAGCGACGCCGCGUGAGCGAAGAAGGUUUUCGAAUUGUAAAGCUCUUUCCUAUGAGAAGAUAAUGACGGUAUUAUAGGAGGAAGCCCCGGCUAACUACGUGCCAGCAGCCGCGGUAAUACGUAGGGGGCUAGCGUUGUCCGGAAUCACUGGGCGUAAAGGGUUCGCAGCCGGAAUAACAAGUCAGAUGUGAAAGGCAUGGGCUCAACCCAUGUAAGCAUUUGAAACUGUAAUUCUUGAGGAGUGGAGAGGGAAGUGGAAUUCCUAGUGUAACGGUGAAAUGCGGAGAUAUUAGGAGGAAUACCUGUGGCGAAGGCGACUUACUGGACACAAAUCUGACGCUGAGGAACGAAAGCGUGGGUAGCAAACAGG
rnacentral:rRNA from 1 species